rnacentral:rRNA from 1 species
GACGGAAGGUGCAAGCGUUGCUCGGAAUCACUGGGCGUAAAGGGUGCGUAGGCGGGUUUUUAAGUCAGGGGUGAAAUCCUGGAGCUCAACUCCAGAACUGCCUUUGAUACUGAAGAUCUUGAGUCCGGGAGAGGUGAGUGGAACUGCGAGUGUAGAGGUGAAAUUCGUAGAUAUUCGCAAGAACACCAGUGGCGAAGGCGGCUCACUGGCCCGGUACUGACGCUGAGGCACGAAAGCGUGGGGAGCAAACAGG